rnacentral:rRNA from 1 species
GAUGAACGCUGGCUACAGGCUUAACACAUGCAAGUCGAGGGGAAACGACGGGGAAGCUUGCUUCCCCGGGCGUCGACCGGCGCACGGGUGAGUAACGCGUAUCCAACCUGCCUCUGACUGAGGGAUAACCCGUCGAAAGUCGGCCUAAUACCUCAUGGCAUCGUCUGCGGGCAUCCAACGACGAUUAAAGAUUUCAUCGGUCAGGGAUGGGGAUGCGUCUGAUUAGCUUGUUGGCGGGGUAACGGCCCACCAAGGCUACGAUCAGUAGGGGUUCUGAGAGGAAGGUCCCCCACAUUGGAACUGAGACACGGUCCAAACUCCUACGGGAGGCAGCAGUGAGGAAUAUUGGUCAAUGGGCGGGAGCCUGAACCAGCCAAGUAGCGUGCAGGAGGACGGCCCUAUGGGUUGUAAACUGCUUUUAUGCGGGGAUAAAGUGAGGGACGUGUCCUUCAUUGCAGGUACCGCAUGAAUAAGAACCGGCUAAUUCCGUG